CCUCCCCCUCUUCCCCUCCCUCCUCCUUCCUCCCUGUGCUGGUCUCUGUGGUGGCGGCUGGUCUCUCGUUCGCUCUGGUCUCUCUGGUCUCUCUGCUGGUGGUGCUGCUCCUCAGGAAGAGACAUAAAGAGAGACCCUCUCCAGCAGAGCCUGUCUACUCAGCAGUGAGGACAGAUAAAGGUUCAGCAGGAGCCAGUUUGACCUACUGUGUGUGUUCCAGAGAAGCCCCUCCCCCCAGAGCCUGAUGUCAUCUACUCCUCAGUGAGACCAGGCUGAGCUGCAGGUACCAAACCACAUCCCCACUCUGGACCAGUACCACCA